GUCCUCAUGGCCCUUACAUUCUGGGCCACACACGUGAAAAAAACUACAAUGGGGGGCACAGAGGGAAGCCAAAUCGCGAGAUGGAGCGGAUCCCGAAAGCCCCUCCCAGUUCGGAUAGGAGUCUGCAACCCGACUCCUUGAAGCCGGAAUCGCUAGUAAUCGCGGAUCAGCAUGCCGCGGUGAAUACGUUCCCGGGCCUU
rnacentral:rRNA from 1 species